AAUAUUGGACAAUGGGGGGAACCCUGAUCCAGCCAUGCCGCUAGUGUGAAGAAGGUCUNCGGUUUNUNAAGCACUUUAAGUUGGGNGAUAGAGUUGUAGGCUAAUACCUUGCAAUUUUGACGUUACCAACAUAAUAAGUACCGGCUAACUUCGUGCCAGCAGCCGCGGUAAUACGAAGGGUGCAAGCGUUAACCGGAAUUACUGGGCGUAAAGCGCGCGUAGGGGGUUCGUUAAGUUGGAAGUGAAAGCCCCGGGCUUAACCUGGGAAUUGCUUUCAAAACUGACGAGCUAGAGUACGGUAGAGGGUAGUGGAAUUUCCUGUGUAGCGGUGAAAUGCGUAGAUAUAGGAAGGAACAUCAGUGGCGAAGGCGACCACCUGGACUGAUACUGACACUGAGGUGCGAAAGCGUGGGGAGCAAACAGG
rnacentral:rRNA from 1 species